rnacentral:snoRNA from 1 species
GUGCACAUUUCGUUACUUUCUCUUUACAUCAAGAGAAAAGAUAUUUCUUAAGUGUUAAACCUUUGUGGGGGGGGGGGGUGGUGGGCAGUAAAUUAGCAGCAUGGCUAAUUUAGCCAUUGCUGUCAGUCACCUUCAAAUAAGA